rnacentral:lncRNA from 1 species
GCGCCACCCCAUUUGGAUGCCCGACUUUCCUCUCAUGCAAAUCAGAUUUGCGUGAGAGUUUUCUCCACACCCCAAGUGUUUCUCACCCUCUUCUCAACACUUAAAUGAAUGUGGAUAAGAUCUGGUUGGAUUCAAAUUGGAUUUGAAUUCAAACUUAAUCUUGGUUAAAGUUCAAAUUUGAUUUGAACUCAUCCACUCUCCCUUGCGCCAAUAAUUUUUCCACAAAGACUCUUCACACAAAAUCAGAUUUCUACAUGAAGUUUUUCCAUGCUCCAUAGCCUAUGCCGCCCUCUCUUUGGAUAGGAUCAAGUUGGUUUAAGUUUGAAUGAGAUUCGAACUU